CCUACGGGAGGCAGCAGUGGGGAAUAUUGGGCAAUGGGCGCAAGCCUGACCCAGCAAUGCCGCGCGAAGGAAGAAGGCUUUCGGGUUGUAAACCUCUUUGUCAGGAGAAGAGCAGAAGACGGUACCCUGAAAACAAGCCACGGCUAACUACGAGCCAGCAGCCGCGGUAAUACGUAGGUGGCAAGCGUUGUCCGGAUUUACUGGGUGUAAAGGGAGUGUAGCCGGGAAGGUAAGUCAGAUGUGAAAUCUGGAGGCUCAACCUUCAAAUUGCAUUUGAAACUGGUUGUCUUGAGUACUGGAGAGGCAGACGGAAUUCCUUGUGUAGCGGUGAAAUGCGUAGAUAUAAGGAGGAACACCAGUGGCGAAGGCGGUCUGCUGGACAGCAACUGACGGUGAGGCGCGAAAGCGUGGGGAGCAAACAGGAUUAGAUACCCUUGUAGUG
rnacentral:rRNA from 1 species